CCCUUAGAUGUCCGGGGCUGCACGCGCGCUACACUGGAGAAAUCAGCAUGCCUUCAUACCUGGCCCGAAAGGGUCGGGUAACCCGCUGAAACUUCUCCGUGAUUGGGAUAGGGAAUUGCAAUUAUUUCCCUUGAACGAGGAAUUCCCAGUAAGUGUGGGUCAUAAGCUCGCGUUGAUUACGUCCCUGCCCUUUGUACACACCGCCCGUCGCUGCCCGGGACUGAGCCGUUUCGAGAAAAGCGGGGACUGCUGCUGUCGGGGCUUUCGGGCCUUGGCUUCGGUGGAAACCGCUUUAAUCGCAGUGGCUUGAACCGGGCAAAAGUCGUANCA
rnacentral:rRNA from 1 species